rnacentral:rRNA from 1 species
AAAGCCUGACGGAGCAACGCCGCGUGAGUGAAGACGGCUUCGGGUUGUAAAGCUCUGUUAUAGGGGACGAACGGCCGGGUAGCGAAGAGGUAGCCGGCAUGACGGUACCGUAAGAGAAAGCCACGGCUAACUACGUGGCAGCAGCCGCGGUAAUACGUAGGUGGCAAGCGUUGUCGGGAAUGAUCGGGCGUAAAGGGCGCGCAGGCGGCUGUGUAAGUCUGUCUAAAAAGUGCGGGGCUAAACCCCGUGAGAGGAUGGAAACUGGACAGCUGAGAGUGUCGGAGAGGAAAGCGGAAUUCCUAGUGUAUCGGUGAAAUGCGUAGAUAUUAGGAGGAACACCGGUGGCGAAAGCGGCUUUCUGGACGACAACUGACGCUGAGGCGCGA